AAACCGCGAGGUCAAGCAAAUCCCAUAAAGUUGUUCUCAGUUCGGAUUGUAGUCUGCAACUCGACUACAUGAAGCUGGAAUCGCUAGUAAUCGUAGAUCAGCAUGCUACGGUGAAUACGUUCCCGGGUCUUGUACACACCGCCCGUCACACCACGAGAGUUUGUAACACCCGAAGCCGGUGGAGUAACCAUUUUGGAGCUAGCCGUCGAAGGUGGGACAAAUGAUUGGGGUGAAGUCGUAACAAGGUAGCCGUAUCGGAAGGUGCGGCUGGAUCACCUCCUUUCUAAGGA
rnacentral:rRNA from 1 species